rnacentral:rRNA from 1 species
GAUGAACGCUGGCGGCGUGCUUAACACAUGCAAGUCGAACGAAGCAUUUAAGACAGAUUACUUCGGUUUGAAGUCUUUUAUGACUGAGUGGCGGACGGGUGAGUAACGCGUGGGUAACCUGCCUCAUACAGGGGGAUAGCAGCUGGAAACGGCUGGUAAUACCGCAUAAGCGCACAGUACCACAUGGUACAGUGUGAAAAACUCCGGUGGUAUGAGAUGGACCCGCGUCUGAUUAGCUUGUUGGCGGGGUAACGGCCCACCAAGGCGACGAUCAGUAGCCGACCUGAGAGGGUGACCGGCCACAUUGGGACUGAGGCACGGCCCAGACUCCUACGGGAGGCAGCAGUGGGGAAUAUUGCACAAUGGAGGAAACUCUGAUGCAGCGACGCCGCGUGAGUGAAGAAGUAGUUCGCUAUGUAAAGCUCUAUCAGCAGGGAAGAUAGUGACGGUACCUGACUAAGAAGCUCCGGCUAAAUACGUG